rnacentral:pre_miRNA from 1 species
GUUACAGUGUAAGUAUGGCCAAGGCAGUAUUGGGGACAUACUUACACUAAAC